rnacentral:rRNA from 1 species
UACGUAGGAGACGAGCGUUGUCCGGAGUUACUGGGCGUAAAGGGUGCGCAGGUGGCGGCGCGCGUGGGGGGUGAAAUCGCCCGGCUUAACCGGGAGGGUGCGGCGAAUACUGAGAUGCUGGAGUGCCGGAGAGGUAAGCGGAAUUCCUGGUGUAGCGGUGAAAUGCGUAGAUAUCAGGAGGAACACCUGCGGUGUAGACGGCUUACUGGACGGUAACUGACGCUGAGGCACGAAAGCGUGGGUAGCAAACAGG